rnacentral:misc_RNA from 1 species
AUGGCACAAACCUGAUACUCCUCAAAAUUCUGCAAUCCCAUCUCCAGAUACUUGUAUAACUCAGGCAUGUACUUGCCAAACUCUGGCCCAGAGGCAUAAGCCAGAGCACCAAUUGCAAGCAUUGCUUCCUCAUGCACGGUAGAGCUCCGGCAAGCCAACACUCUGAGGAAUAGAAUCAUAAUUGGAUCUGAAGCCUGGAGUAUAAUGGGCUUGGUCUCAUCAGCACUGCUAAGUUUCUGGAUGAUGACUUGUAGAACAC